AAUGUGUGUGUAUAUUUUUAAAUGUAGUUCUAAAUGGAGCACCUGGAUUUAUAAACUUGUGUGAUGCUUUGAAUGCCUGGCAGCUGGUGAAGGAACUCAAGGAAGCUUUAGGCAUUCCAGCUGCUGCCUCUUUCAAGCACGUCAGCCCAGCAGGUGCUGCUGUUGGAAUUCCACUUAGUGAAGACGAGGCCAAAGUGUGCAUGGUCUAUGACAUGUAUAAAACCCUUACACCCAUAUCAACUGCAUAUGCAAGAGCAAGAGGGGCCGAUAGGAUGUCUUCAUUUGGUGACUUUGUUGCAUUAUCUGAUGUAUGUGAUGUCCCUACUGCCAAAAUUCUCUCCAGAGAGGUUAGUGGACAUUUAUGUAUCCUGAUCCGAGUUUAAUGCAGUCAAGCUUUAUUUGUUCAU